GAUGAACGCUGGCGGCGUGCCUAAUACAUGCAAGUAGAACGCUGAAGCUUGGUGCUUGCACCGAGCGGAUGAGUUGCGAACGGGUGAGUAACGCGUAGGUAACCCGCCUCUUAGCGGGGGAUAACUAUUGGAAACGAUAGCUAAUACCGCAUAAAAGUCGACAUCGCAUGAUGUUGACUUGAAAGGUGCAAUUGCAUCACUAAGAGAUGGACCUGCGUUGUAUUAGCUAGUUGGUGAGGUAACGGCUCACCAAGGCGACGAUACAUAGCCGACCUGAGAGGGUGAUCGGCCAAACUGGGACUGAGACACGGCCCAGACUCCUACGGGAGGCAGCAGUAGGGAAUCUUCGGCAAUGGGGGCAACGCUGACCGAGCAACGCCGCGUGAGUGAAGAAGGUUUUCGGAUCGUAAAGCUCUGUUGUAAGAGAAGAAAGAGUGUGAGAGUGGAAAGUUCACACUGUGACGGUAACUUACCAGAAAGGGACGGCUAACUACGUG
rnacentral:rRNA from 1 species